UGGAGAUUAACAGCUGAUCUGAUUCAGUUUC
rnacentral:piRNA from 1 species